rnacentral:sRNA from 1 species
ACCAUGAACAGCAAAGGCAAGGACCGAGGGUGGCAGAGGUCGUCGGGGGGAGUACUGCUGGCCCAGAGCGAGCGGAUUCGGAGCCCAGGGUCACCAAACGCAAGGUCAAUAUCCAACACAGCCAACCUACCCUGUGCAGCCUCCUGGGAAUCCAGUAUACCCUCAGACCUUGCAUCUUCCUCAGGCUCCACCCUAUACCGAUGCUCCACCUGCCUACUCAGAGCUCUAUCGUCCGAGCUUUGUGCACCCAGGGGCUGCCACAGUCCCCACCAUGUCAGCCGCAUUUCCUGGAGCCUCUCUGUAUCUUCCCAUGGCCCAGUCUGUGGCUGUUGGGCCUUUAGGUUCCACAAUCCCCAUGGCUUAUUAUCCAGUCGGUCCCAUCUAUCCACCUGGCUCCACAGUGCUGGUGGAAGGAGGGUAUGAUGCAGGUGCCAGAUUUGGAGCUGGGGCUACUGCUGGCAACAUUCCUCCUCCACCUCCUGGAUGCCCUCCCAAUGCUGCUCAGCUUGCAGUCAUGCAGGGAGCCAACGUCCUCGUAACUCAGCGGAAGGGGAACUUCUUCAUGGGUGGU